GGCUUUUUGAUUAUAAUUUAAGGUCUAACCUGCCCAAUGAUUUAUUAAAUGGCCGCAGUAUAUUGACUGUGCAAAGGUAGCAUAAUCAUUAGUUUUUUAAAUGAAAGCUUGUAUGAAAGGUUUAAUGAGAAAAAUACUGUCUCUAUCUAAAUAUAUUAGAAUUUUAUUUUUAAGUUAAAAAGCUUAAAUAUUUAUUGAAGACGAGAAGACCCUAUAGAAUUUUAUAUUUUUGUUAAAUUUAUUUAGUUUAGAAUUUUAUAAAUAUUUUUAAUAAAAGUAUUUAGUUGGGGUGAUGAAAAAAUUUAUUUAACUUUUUUUUUAUUUAAACAUGAAUUAAUGAAUAUUUGAUCCUUUAAGUAUAAAGAUAAAAAGAAAAAAUUACCUUAGGGAUAACAGCGUAAUUUUUUUUAGAGUUCUUAUCAAAAAAAAAGAUUGCGACCUCGAUGUUGGAUUAAAAUAAAUUAUUGGUGUAGAAGCUAAUAUUUUAGGUCUGUUCGACCUUUAAAUUUUUACAUGAUCUGAGUUUAAACCGGUGUGAG
rnacentral:rRNA from 2 species